CUGGUGAGAAGUGAUUGGAUCAUGGGGGCGGUUUCCUCCAUUCUGUUCUGAUAGCUGCAAGCUCCAUGAGGGCAGGACUGCACCUCUGUUUUGUUCAUGGCUGUGUCUCCAGCACCUGGUUGGAGGCAAGGUGCCAAGGCAGUGCUCUGUAAAGAAAUUUUCAACCCUGAUGACUGAAGCCGACUGGAAGUCUGCAAAUUCGAGUUUGAACACCCAAGAUUCGACGUAAAACAAGCAAGCUUGAUUGGUGGUCAGAAAAUACUGUCAAAGAAAGGAUUUCUUCCUGUCACCCCCCUUGUAUGAUUUAUGUGAAUUUUGUUGCCUGUCACAUUGGGGUUAAAACAGCCUCUAGCUAUUCAGAUCCAGGACGUGGGUCCCAAGUCACCCACUGCAUAUGGUCAAGCAUUUGGGAAUCAGGGAUUCCUUUAAGAAUUUGGGAAAAAAAAAAAAAAGUAUGGUCCCUCUUUAAAAAUAAAAUGCACAAAAACUUAUAUAGAAUUCAAGGAAGACCAGAAAGCCUUGGAGUUUGGGGAGGGUUAUUCCCAAAACUCUAGGUCCCAGAACU